rnacentral:rRNA from 1 species
CCCUUAGAUGUUCUGGGCCGCACGCGCGCUACACUGAUGCAACCAAUCAGAAUAUUUUGAAUUGAGAUAUUUGAAAAAUCUGCUAAACUGCAUCGUGAUGGGGAUUGACGAUUGUAAUUAUUUGUCAUAAACGAGGAAUUCCUAGUAAACGCAAGUCAUCAACUUGCAUUGAUUACGUCCCUGCCCUUUGUACACACCGCCCGUCGCUCCUACCGAUUGAAUGUUCCGGUGAGCACUCUGGCACAAUUGCUAUUCUUAGCAAUAAGAAUGGAUAAUUGUAAAAUUGUGCAAACCUUAACAUUUAGAGGAAGGAGAAGUCGUAACA